AUGGCUUCUUUCGUCUCUCCGACUUCGACUUCCUCGAUCGCCGGUCUCCUCCUGUUCGUCAUCGCGUCGUUCCUUCAAGGGCUGGUGGCGGCGGCCGGCGUGACGUUCACGUUCACGAACCGGUGCGGCGGCACGGUGUGGCCGGGGGUGCUGGCCAACUCGGGAAGCGCGCCGCUGGAGACGACGGGGUUCGCGCUGGGCCCCGGGGAGGCGCGGUCGCUGGCGGCGCCGGCGGGGUGGUCGGGCCGGUUCUGGGCGCGCACGGGGUGCGCCUUCGACGGCACCUCCGGCGGCAAGUGCGCCACGGGCGACUGCGGCAGCGGCGAGGCGGAGUGCCACGGCUCCGGCGCGGCGCCCCCCGCCACGCUCGUGGAGUUCACCCUCGGCGGCGGCGGCGGCGGCAAGGAGGACUACUACGACGUGAGCCUGGUGGACGGGUACAACGUGCCGGUGGUGGUGGAGCCGUCCGCGGCGGGGUGCCCGGCCACGGGGUGCCUCGUGGACCUCAACGAGCGGUGCCCGCCGGAGCUCCGGGCCGCGGAGGGCUGCCGGAGCGCGUGCGAGGCGUUCGACCGGCCGGAGUACUGCUGCAGCGGCGCGUUCGGCGGGCCGGACACCUGCCGCCCGUCCGCCUACUCGCAGGCGUUCAAGGCCGCCUGCCCGCGCGCCUACAGCUACGCCUACGACGACGCCACCUCCACCUUCACCUGUGCCGCCUCCGCCGCCUACUCCGUCACCUUCUGCCCCCGCGCCGGCACCUCCAGCAGCCUCAAGUCGAGCAACGACCCGUUGCCGAGGCCGGGCGACGUGGUCGCCGGCGCGCAGGUCGCGGCGGACACGUGGCUGGCGAGCCUGGCGACCGGCGAGAGCGACGCUGCCGCGGCCAGGACGGCUGCGGCGGCGGCGCUCCGAGCCGCACUGGCGGCGGCGGCCGUGGCCUUGCUUGUGUCAUCACUCUAG
rnacentral:rRNA from 1 species